ACUUUAAUUAGUUACAUUGAUACGAAAGAGUUACUCAAAUGAUAAACACUUCACAAUUUCAAUUCAAAAGAUGGGAGCUUCCGAGAGGGGUAAAGGAAAAAAAUAUUUUAGUUGCCUUUUUUGCACUAAAACUACUCCCUUUUGUCCCAAAUUAUUUGGCAUGUUUGCUUUUACAAAAGUUCAUUUGUUCAUUUUCGAAGUUAA
rnacentral:misc_RNA from 1 species